rnacentral:rRNA from 1 species
CCUACGUGUGGCAGCAGUCGAGAAUCAUUCACAAUGGGGGAAACCCUGAUGCAGCAACGCCGCGUGAGUGAGGAAGUAUUUCGUUAUGUAAAGCUCUAUCAGCAGGGAAUAUAAAAGACGGUACCUGAAACAGAAGCCCCGGCUAACUACGUGCCAGCAGCCGCGGUAAUACGUAGGGGGCAAGCGUUAUCCGGAUUUACUGGGUGUAAAGGGAGCGUAGACGGAAAGGCAAGUCAGAAGUGAAAGCCCAAGGCUCAACCAUGGGACUGCUUUUGAAACUGUCAAACUAGAGUACGGGAGAGGUAAGAGGAAUUCCUAGUGUAGCGGUGAAAUGCGUAGAUAUUAGGAGGAACACCAGUGGCGAAGGCGUCUUACUGGACCGAAACUGACGUUGAGGCUCGAAAGCGUGGGGAGCAAACAGGAUUAGAUACCCUUGUAGUC